GUCUCGAUAGCUCAGUGGUAGAGCAUGCGAUUGCAGUGUGAGCUGACAUCGCACGGUCAGGUGUUCGAUCCACCUUCGGGACU